GACGAACGCUGGCGGCGUGCUUAACACAUGCAAGUCGAACGGAAAGGCCCCCACCUUGGUGGGGGUGCUCGAGUGGCGAACGGGUGAGUAACACGUGGGUGAUCUGCCCUGCACUUCGGGAUAAGCUUGGGAAACUGGGUCUAAUACCGGAUAGGACCAUGGUUUAGUGUCUCAUGGUGGAAAAAUUAUUGUUUUGGUGCAGGAUGAGCUCGCGGCCUAUCAGCUUGUUGGUGGGGUAAUGGCCUACCAAGGCGUCGACGGGUAGCCGGCCUGAGAGGGUGGACGGCCACAUUGGGACUGAGAUACGGCCCAGACUCCUACGGGAGGCGCAGUGGGGAAUAUUGCACAAUGGGCGCAAGCCUGAUGCAGCGACGCCGCGUGGGGGAUGACGGCCUUCGGGUUGUAAACUCCUUUCGUUAGGGACGAAGCCACACCUUUUUUGGGUG
rnacentral:rRNA from 1 species